rnacentral:rRNA from 1 species
UACGGAGGGUGCAAGCGUUAAUCGGAAUUACUGGGCGUAAAGCGCGCGUAGGUGGUUUGGUAAGCGAGAUGUGAAAGCCCCGGGCUUAACCUGGGAACGGCAUUUCGAACUGCCAGACUAGAGUGUGGUAGAGGGUAGUGGAAUUUCCUGUGUAGCGGUGAAAUGCGUAGAUAUAGGAAGGAACACCAGUGGCGAAGGCGGCUACCUGGACCAACACUGACACUGAGGUGCGAAAGCGUGGGGAGCAAACAGGAUUAGAUACCCCGGUAGUCCCUGAGCGGG